GGCUACGGCCAUGCCACCCUGAACAAGUCCAAUCUUGUCUGAUCUUUGAAGCUAAGCAGGGUUGGGCCUGGUUAGUAAUUGGAUGGGAGACCAUCUAGGAAUACCAGGUGCUAUAGGCA
rfam:Pteropus alecto contig51351, whole genome shotgun sequence.